rnacentral:rRNA from 1 species
AGAGUUUGAUCCUGACUCAGAACGAACGCUGGCGGCGUGCCUAACACAUGCAAGUCCAACGUGAAAGGGGAGCAAUCCCCCGGUAGGGUGGCAAACGGGUGAGUAAUACAUGGGUGAUCUACCUUAGGGAUGGGGAUAUCCUUCCGAAAGGAGGGGCAAUACCGAAUAUUGUCCGGAGCCGUGAAGGGUUCCGGGGAAAGGGAGGCCUCUGAUACAAGCUUUCGCCUUAAGAUGAGCCCAUGGCCCAUCAGCUAGUUGGUAGGGUAAAGGCCUACCAAGGCUACGACGGGUCGCUGGUCUGAGAGGACGACCAGCCACACUGGCACUGAGAUACGGGCCAGACUCCUACGGGAGGCAGCAGUGAGGAAUAUUGCGCAAUGGGGGAAACCCUGACGCAGCAACGCCGCGUGUGGGAAGAAGGCCUUCGGGUCGUAAACCACUUUUGCACGGGACGAAAAAGGGAUAUCGAACAAAUAUCCCCGAUGACGGUACCGUGAGAAUAAGCCACGGCUAACUCUGUGCCAGCAGCCGCGGUAAGACAGAGGUGGCAAGCGUUGUUCGGAAUUACUGGGCGUAAAGAGUCUGUAGGUGGUUUGUCAAGUCUUUGGUGAAAGGCCGUAGCUUAACUAUGGGAAUGCCAAAGAGACUGGCAGGCUGGAGGCUGGGAGAGGGAAGCGGAAUU